rnacentral:rRNA from 1 species
ACGAAGGGGGCUAGCGUUGUUCGGAAUUACUGGGCGUAAAGCGCACGCAGGCGGAUUGAUUAGUCGGGGGUGAAAUCCCGGGGCUCAACCUCGGAAUUGCCUUCGAUACUGUCAGUCUUGAGUCCGGGAGAGGUGAGUGGAAUUCCUAGUGUAGAGGUGAAAUUCGUAGAUAUUAGGAAGAACACCAGUGGCGAAGGCGGCUCACUGGCCCGGUACUGACGCUCAUGUGCGAAAGCGUGGGGAGCAAACAGGAUUAGAUACCCUGGUAGUCCACGCCGUAAACGAUGGAUGCUAGCCGUUGGGGAGCUUGCUCUUCGGUGGCGCAGCUAACGUAUUAAGCAUCCCGCCUGGGGAGUACGGUCGCAAGAUUA